rnacentral:lncRNA from 7 species
CUGGAAGUAAACUUAUCCGAUCAUUCCCAGAAACCGGAGCGACAGCAUUCAAUCGUCAGUUCGUCACCCUCGCAAGUCGCAAGCUGUAGCGAUAUGCACACAACUGGCUCCUGUUGGUACACCGUGUACGGUAGACGACCAUGCACCUCGUGUGGAGACGGCGCGCCGACCAAAUGCACAUCACACCCAUCCGUCCACACGCGAUCCACGGU